GUGCUUGCUACGGCAGCACACCUACUAAAAUUGGAACGAUACAGAGAAGAUUAGCAUGGCCCCUCCUCCCAGGGGCCAUGCUAAUCUUCUCUGUAUCGAUCCAAUUUU